GACACGGUCCAAACUCCUACGGGAGGCAGCAGUGGGGAAUAUUGCACAAUGGGCGAAAGCCUGAUGCAGCAACGCCGCGUGAGUGAUGAAGGCCUUCGGGUCGUAAAACUCUGUCCUCAAGGAAGAUAAUGACGGUACUUGAGGAGGAAGCCCCGGCUAACUACGUGCCAGCAGCCGCGGUAAUACGUAGGGGGCUAGCGUUAUCCGGAUUUACUGGGCGUAAAGGGUGCGUAGGCGGUCUUUCAAGUCAGGAGUGAAAGGCUACGGCUCAACCGUAGUAAGCUCUUGAAACUGGG
rnacentral:rRNA from 1 species